rnacentral:misc_RNA from 1 species
GGAAGAGUUGUUACCUAAAGCAGUGUCUGCAAACAAAUCAUCCUCCAUAAGCGGUAAUUCCACCAAAAGGGAUCAUGAGAGAAGACACAUACCAUCUGCUUCUUCAGCAUUGGUUGUUGGUUGUGUGCCUUCUCUCAUAAACCCUUUUGGUGNCGGCUAAACCAAUCCUGAACUUCAUGGGUGUACAUUCUGAUUCUCCAAUGCUAAUACCAGCACAACAAUACUUGAUAUUGAGAUCACUAGGUGCUCCUGCUGUUCUUCUUUCUUUAGCAAUGCAAGGGGUUUUUCGAGGAAUCAAGGAUACAAAAACUCCUUUGUAUGCUACUGUUGUGGGAGAUGUAGCGAAUAUCAUCUUGGACCCAAUAUUUAUAUUCAUAUUCCGGCUGGAUGUCAGGGG